UACAGAGGUGGCAAGCGUUGUUCGGAAUUACUGGGCGUAAAGGGCGCGUAGGCGGCCUUCUAAGUCAGACGUGAAAUCCCCAGGCUUAACUUGGGAACUGCGUCUGAUACUGGGAGGCUUGAGUGCGGGAGAGGGAUGUGGAAUUCCAGGUGUAGCGGUGAAAUGCGUAGAUAUCUGGAGGAACACCGGUGGCGAAGGCGGCAUCCUGGACCGACACUGACGCUGAGGCGCGAAAGCCAGGGGAGCAAACGGGG
rnacentral:rRNA from 1 species